GACGAACGCUGGCGGCGUGCUUAACACAUGCAAGUCGAACGGAACGGCCCUGCUUUUGUGGGGUGCUCGAGUGGCGAACGGGUGAGUAACACGUGAGUAACCUGCCCUUGACCUUGGGAUAUCUUCAGGCAACUGGGGCUAAUACCGGAUAGGAUCUCUCGCUGCUUGGUGGGGGUUGGAAAGUUUCGGCGGUUGGGGAUGGACUCGCGGCUUAUCAGGUUGUUGGUGGGGUAGUGGCUUACCAAGGCUUUGACCGGUAGCCGGCCUGGGAGGGGGACCGGACACAUUAGGACUGAGAUACGGCCCGGACUCCUACGGGAGGCAGCGGUGGGGAAUAGUGCACAAUAGGCGGAAGCCUGAUGCAGCAACGCCGCGUGGGGGGUGAGAGCAUGCGGGUUGGAAACCGCUGUCGCCUGAGACGAGGCGAGAGUGACAGUAACGGGUAAAGAAGCACCGGCUAACUACGUG
rnacentral:rRNA from 1 species